CAGGCUAAGUGCUUGUUCCAAGAUGACUACGUACUGGCAAUAACAACCGAUCCAAAACGUGACGAAGAAAGAGCUGCACAGUGUACCAGUCACUUGCCUGGGAGCGCGAAACUCCUGGGUACUGAGACGUACGGAUGGUGCUCGUUUUCUUGCUACAGUGACCAAUCGUCUCCUUUUGUCCUUGAGGAAAAGGACGGUACACCCUGCAACGAAAGAGAUCCCUCAAUGAAAUGCCGGAACGGGGCUUGUGUGAAAGAGGUACUGCAACCAACGGAUACAAAUCAGAAGAAAAAAGA